ACUUAUUUAAGCUCUGAAAACUGGUUGAAAUAUUGCACUGACUUAGAGAUGACAGGAGUAGCUCCUCCCAAUCAACUGUAGCACAGUCAGACUGCAAUCUCUGGCUCAUGUGUAAAUAGUCACCAUUUUGGUAGGUGGUCUAUUUCUAGUGCUCUUACUAUUUUAUUUCAAAACAUGGAAACAGUAAAGCUAACUGAUUCUUUCUACCACCUCUUUCUGUGUGUCAGGUUACAUUACCCUUUUCAAGUGUCAAUGUUUCUUCUUUUCUCUCUCACAGAAAAUGUAUUAAUAGACCUCUGGGCUGAUGAUUGCUUUUGGUACUGGAAAAUGCUGUAUGAGGCUUCUCAGCUGUUUCAGAGAUCCCUGACAUGUCCUGACAGAUGUCUGAACUGGGAGACCAAGAAUAUGCUUUUCACUGCAGCAAAUCCCAGCAGUUCUCUUGUACCUCAGUUGGGCUUCAUGAGCUUUUGAAGAUAAUCACUAAAACAUGUAAGUGAAGUGGCUAGCGUUUUAGACAUUUUAUCAGAUCUUGAUUACAUGAACACCCUGUUUAUUUCCCUGUUUUUUGUUUUUUUUUUUUUUGUUUUUUUGUUUUUUUGUUUUGUUUUUUUUUUCCUUUCUGACCUAUGUGCCUAUAUUCCUACUUUAAUUUUUAUUAGUCCUAAGUCAUGUUAGGGACAUGGUCAUUUUCAAUCUCUUUUUGUGAUAGCCAAGCAAAAAACAUAUAUAUAAACUCAUUUCAUUUGUAAUCUACACAGCUCUAAUGAAACAUCUGAAACAUCCUGUUAGUCUGCUUCUCCAAAAGAUAUCAAACAAAUCUUUUUUUUCCAUUUUCAAAACAAAAAGAAAAGAAUGGCAACUUUUUCUUUCUGUGAAAGCUAUGCAGUAACUCCUUUGAUUAAUCAAGUAAAAAUUGUGAAACCUUCUCAAACCAAGAGCAAUCACUCCAUUUCCCAUGACCUCUGGAAACUGGAAAGGGAACAAGCUUCUAGAUAAGGAGAGGAAGAAGUAAAGAACAACUCACAGGUUGAGAUAAGGAUAAUUUAAUUAAAGGAAAAAAAAUAUUAAGGAAAAAAUAUUAUUAACUAAACAAUUUAACUAAAGGGAAAAAAAAAAAAGGAAAAGAAAAGGAAUGACAGCAUAUGGAAUGACAUUCCAGAGUAUGGAAUGACAUCCAGACUCAGGCUUAAGAUUACUAAACCUGGACUGACUUGGUCUCCUCCCGAACUUUAUUUCUACAAAAGGAUUUCAAGGUGGUUAUUAUGGACAAAUUGUAUCUCAGCAGAGAAAGACAGGACAUACAGCCAAACACUGACGGAAUGUGAAAUAUGUUCAUCUGAUAUUCGUUAAGCCAUAGUUAUUAUUUCUUUUGGAAGAUAAUUGUAUUUUAUAGGCCUAUCACUGGUAAUAUGCUUUCAUAAAGGAGGUAAAGAUAAACAUAAUGGAAACUGUAACACUUUAAAAAAUGUGAAGUGCAAUUCUGAUGGAAUUUUGAAGCUAUUAAGUCUUGACUUGAAUUAAGAAGUCUUAAACCAAAUCUUCAAUUUCUUAAGCCUCAAAAACUUCCACUAGCAGCAGGCAAAUUCUGGACUGAUGAAUACCACAUUAUCAAAUACUUCAUUUGACCCCAACAGAUAAAACAUUUGAUUUCAGAUUCUUUUUUUUUUUUUUUUUUUUUUUUUUCCCCCUGCAUAAUGGCCGUAUCUAGAAGUCAUUCAGUAUCUAAGAAUAUUUCUAAAUGUGUGUGUUUACUGAAGACUAGACAGAUGAAUAAAAGUGCUUGACUUCUAUUUCA
rnacentral:lncRNA from 1 species